CAGCAGCCGCGGGAAUACGUAGGUAGCAAGCGUUGUCCGGAAUUAUUGGGCGUAAAGGGCUCGCAGGCGGUUUCUUAAGUCUGAUGUGAAAGCCCCCGGCUCAACCCCAGAAUUGCCUUUAAGACUGCCGAGCUAGUAGGUGAGAGAGGUAAGUGGAAUUCCGAGUGUAGAGGUGAAAUUCGUAGAUAUUCGGAAGAACACCAGUGGCGAAGGCGGCUUACUGGCUCAUUCUAGACGCUGAGGUGCGAAAGCGUGGGGAGCAAACAGGAUUAGAUACCCCCGUAGUCCCUGUCUCUUAUAC
rnacentral:rRNA from 1 species